GUCGCUGUGGCUGACUAAUGCUGUAAAUGAGACACAAAUUACACUGCUACUGUAUGACAGCGUUUAAUUACUGAGUUCAUUCACGCGAGUCACUGUUGAUUUAAUGACAAAGGAGUUCACAUUGUGUGUGUAUUAAUCAGAACUGCCCUAUGAUGUGAUGUGCUUCAUUCUCUCAGAGUUUCCAGGAUGGCUAACCACCUCCUGUACAUUUUAUCAACUUCCUGACCUCAAAUCCUUUGCAAACAUCCUCUCAUGAGCAACUGAGGAUCAGCGCUUAGGGGAAAAGGCCUAGCAUUAUGCUCUGGAUCUGUCUGACCCACAAAAACCCGAGACAUGGCACAUCCUGGGAGAAGGGAGCCAUGGAGCUAGACGACGAAGACAUGGGGUGGACCAAGAACGAGAGGAGCUGGAAGAGGAGAACACCACAAAGGAGCCAACUGGGCAGAGCUCCUUUGUGCUUUGAUGGCUCUCUUGGAAAGAACCUUGGAGCCCAUCAACAAAGGUGGAGCCGUGUGAGGCAGAAUCCUCCGUGAAGCUGCAGAGAAGACAGCCUAGGGUGACCUCGCAGGCCUGGAGGUCCAAGGCGUUGCUGCUGGCUUGCUGGCAAUGAUGGGGGACUGACAGAAUGGGGCAAUGCCAGAGGGAGUGAGGACCAAGGCAGAAGGAGGAUCCUUGUAUACCCAGAGCUGACGGGCUGAGGUACAGUCAAGGGCCUGGUAUCCUGUGGUGAAGCCAAGAGUUUACCUUUUGGAGAGGAGACCUGAGGUGGAGCCGAAAAACUGGAGACAGACCGGGGAUCUGCACAAUACCAGCAGGGCAGGUGAGUAGGACAGAACCAUCAUGGAGAUAGAAAAUAGCGAAGUGGGCAGGUGACUGGGAGGAACAGGAUCAUAUAGCAGGUUGCUUGAUGUGUCUUCAAGGGCAAGAAAAAGGGGGUGCUGGUUCCUUCUAGACGUCAAUGACUCCGAGCUAGACCUGAUAGGCUCUGAUCCUGGGUCAGAAGUGGCAUCUGGCUCUAGCUCCGGGGUGGACUUUUGGUGCUUUUCCACUGCAUGAUACGGCUUGGUACGGUUCACUUUUGAGGGGUUUUCCACUGGGUACAGUACCUGGUAUCAGGUUCUUUUUUUAGUACCACCUCGGUUGAGGUUCCAAGUGAACCAUACCGUUACCAAAAUGUGACAUGUAAACACUGCUGAACACGGAUUGGCUGGAGAGUAUCGUCACUACUUGCAUCACUGAACUUGUGACACAAACACAACAGAAUCGCUAGAUUUAAAUCCGGAUCGAAUGCAACUGUUUUGAACGAGCGCACCUUUUUUUAACAACCAAAAAGUGUCUGUUUCGUUGUCUGUUGAGGAAGUACAGACAUUCCUCUCGAUGAUAGCAGAGGAGCAGAUCCAGCGAGAGCUUGAUGGGGUGACGUGGAAUGGAAGGUUUUUCAGGAGUCGCAGAAGUAGAGGUGGCUAAACUGCAGUGGAAACGCAAACUGAGCCGUGCCGUGCCGUACCAUGCGGUGGAAAAGCGCCAAUAGUAGGAGACUUCUGGCUCCAUGGCUGGAAGUGGCACUCGCAUGUGGUCCGUGGAAGGCAAGGGUGUAAAUUUCAUCUAACAGUGGGGGAAUAAAUUUCAAAAUAAAUAUAAAAUUUCUCGAGCGCAAUUUUUGAAAAGGACACAAAUAAUACAGCCAAAUUGUACUUGUAAGGAUAGAUAUGUGUACACAGCAUGGAAACCGUGUUUAAAUAUGAGUUUGGUUCAUAGGUUCACCACGAGUUCAAAAAAUAAAAUAAAAAAAUAAUUAAACACAGCAAGCACACUGAUCUGCCACUUAACAUCCCAUUGAGCAAAACCCAAUACAUCGGUAUGUCUACAAUAUUAGCCUAAUAUCAGGAUUAUUGCUGUGUUAGUUGUAAUGGGUAACUUACUAUCCAACAAGCUACGUAUUAAACAAGCUAAGCUAGGUAACCUUAUAAUCGCUCAUAGGAUAUCGAAUGACGUCUUUUUUUGUCGUGACUAAUUUAUAAUUGAUCCAGCAUCAUCUGUAUUAAAGAGAAAGAAUCACUUCAUCUGAUGUUUAAAGUGAAUAAAAUAGCCUUGACAGCCUACUUACACACAACUGCUGAAGAACUUUGUUCUCUCCCACCACCGGACUCCUGUGUAUAUCUGUGAGGA
ensembl:lncRNA